UGUAAUUCUUUAUGACAGACACAGUAGGCUUUUAAAACACAAAUGCUCAGAUUAAAUGUGAAUAAAAAGAUAGUCCAUGUGGUCUACUCCACAUCCAGGCAAGUGAAUGAAGGUUUCCCAGAUUGGACUCUAGAUUGCGCAAGUUUUAAGAUGCGCUCACAGACAAAGAGGGGAUAGAGAACAUUUUACAGUGCCAUGUUUCUGAAGGUUUCUGUUAUUUAGUAGAAAUCAUUAACCAUUCCUUUGUUAGAACAGGCUCUUCAUGAAAGGAAGUUCUAAUAAUUUUCUGCUGCUUCCAUUGAGUUUUACAAAAGGAAAAUGCAGCUGUUUGUGCAGAUGCUUUUGUACAAGAACUGGUUUGUCACUAUUACAACUUCAGGCAGCUGUAAGAGAUAUGAAGAAAUGAUACCUGGUCUUUUAAAUUAGUUUUCCUUAUUUUACCUGUUGAAUUGAAGUAAUUUCUACGCUGUUCUUGCUAUGAUACAGAACUUCAUCUCCUUACUCUUUCACUUCCCAUAUGUGUUUUCCUCCAAGACUUUGCAUGUGAGAUAAAGUACAGCUACUUCCACAGCUGGGAUGUCACAUAUGUGGGCUAUGAGCAAACAAAAUCUGGGAGAUGUAUCAACUACUUUGCUAUUACUUUUGCAAUAAUUAACUUUCACUGCAUGAAAUAAAAUAUGUUUACUCAAAGUUUAUGUUGAGCUGCAGAUUUGUAUCUUCUAUAGGAAUCUAAUGAGCUUUUUGAUUUUCUCUGGAAAAAAAUCGGCAGGCAGAGUUUAGAAUGAAGAUGAAUUGCAAUGAGAGUUUUGGAUGAGUAUCAGAACCAAAGGAAAUUAACAGGCUAAUACAGUAAAUGGCUGAUUUGACAUGUUUGCCGUUGCACAUUUUUUCCCCAUCCAUGUUUAAGUGUAACAAAGGAACACUUCUCUGACUUGCUUCUUGUUGGUGUGUUGAAGAAAUAGAGUGGCCUGGAUUGGUCCUUGAUAUGCAAUUACUUCACGGAGUACACAGGACUACAGCACGAGUAUUGGAGUCAUUAACUGAAGUGAUCAUCAUUAAAAAAGAGCACCAUUAGCCAAGCCUCCCAGCCAGCCAAAUGUGUGCCAGGGAAGGAAUGGUGUCUUUUCAUUAGGAGGGUAACAGUCUGAAGGCAAUACAGGACACACUGUUGAGUGCCACCAGACUUGGAAUU